GCGCCCGUAGCUCAGCUGGAUAGAGUACCUGGCUACGAACCAGGUGGUCGGAGGUUCAAAUCCUUCCGGGCGCGCCA
rnacentral:tRNA from 1 species